rnacentral:rRNA from 1 species
UACAGAGGUGCCAAGCGUUUAGGCGGAAUCACUGGGCUUAAAGCGCGUGUAGGUGGACGGGUAAGUAUCUUGUGAAAUCCCACGGCUCAACCGUGGAACUGCUGGAUAUACUGCUUGUCUUGAGGCACUUAGGGGCAGCUGGAACAAAUGGUGGAGCGGUGAAAUGCGUAGAUAUCAUUUGGAACGCCAAAGGCGAAAGCAGGCUGCUGGGAGUGAUCUGACACUGAGACGCGAAAGCCAGGGGAGCAAACGGG